GACUUGCAUUGUCUAAAUUUUCAAUGUUUGUGCAUUCCCGCUGGCGUGUCGCCGCCUGGUGCUCUACGUUUUAUUAGAUUCUGAGGCAAACUAAAGCAAAGAUUACAAUUGGCUUUGGUGGCCCUCAGUACAUAUUGCAUCUAGAACGAGUACGAUAAACGUGUAAACGACGAAAGAAAAAACACAGCCGUGUCAUCACGUCGAGUCAACGAGAAAAAACGAAAGGACUACGAUCAUUCCUCCGGGUUCGUGCCCGAUACUUUUAUGAUGGGAGCUGACCGGAAUCCUACCUGAAAAAGAAUUUUCAAGAGGUUAAAUUUGGUAGCCGCUUCAAUUUGGCUGCUGCUAAAAGUUAAUUUGAGGUUAUGUGACUGCAAUAAUUAUUCUAAUCAUUAUUAUCAGUUAUCAAGUUACAAGAUAAUAAAUAAAGGGUAUAUUGAAGAACAA